CUAUUCCAUGUCUUCUAGAGAAAAAUAAUGAGGGGUGUCACGGGGUAUGGCUAUAUAGGUCUUGUAGAGGAGAAACAGGCGCAUCGUUUGAGCAAGGUUUCGAGUGGCGCUAUGUUCAAAAAUCUGAAACUAGGGCUCGAAAUUAUAAAAAUUUGGAAAAAACCGGGGGGUUGGCCUAUUCCAUGGCUUCUAGAGAAAAAUAAUGAGGAGUGUCACGGGGUAUGGCUAUAUAGGUCUUGUAGAGGAGAAACAGGCGCAUCGGUUGCGCAAGAUGUUGAGUGUCGCUAUGU